GUAGUGAGCUGUUUGGCGGCUUAAUUUCGACUUAAGACAAGGAUUAUAUAGUG
rnacentral:tRNA from 1 species